rnacentral:rRNA from 1 species
UACGUAGGCAGCGAGCGUUGUUCGGAGUUACUGGGCGUAAAGGGUGUGUAGGCGGCGCGGUAAGUCGGGUGUGAAAUCUCGGAGCUUAACUCCGAAACUGCAUUCGAUACUGCCGUGCUUGAGGACUGGAGAGGAGACUGGAAUUUACGGUGUAGCGGUGAAAUGCGUAGAUAUCGUAAGGAAGACCAGUGGCGAAGGCGGGUCUCUGGACAGUUCCUGACGCUGAGGCACGAAGGCCAGGGGAGCAAACGGG